UACACACCGCCCGUCACACCAUGGGAGUCAGUUGCUCCAGAAACGGCUGCGCCAACCCGCAAGGGGGGCAGGUCUUUAAGGAGUGACUGGUAACUGGGGUG
rnacentral:rRNA from 1 species